rnacentral:rRNA from 1 species
ACGGGAGGCAGCAGUGGGGAAUAUUGGGCAAUGGGCGCAAGCCUGACCCAGCAACGCCGCGUGAAGGAAGAAGGCUUUCGGGUUGUAAACUUCUUUUACCAGGGACGAAGGAUGUGACCUACCCGAAGAAUAAGCCACGGCUAACUACGUGCCAGCAGCCGCGGUAAUACGUAGGUGGCAAGCGUUAUCCGGAUUUACUGGGUGUAAAGGGCGUGUAGGCGGCUCUGCAAGUCAGAAGUGAAAUUCCCGGGCUCAACCUGGGCGCUGCUUCUGAAACUGCAGAACUUGAGUACUGGAGGGGAAAGCGGAAUUCCUAGUGUAGCGGUAAAAUGCGCAGAUAUUAGGAGGAACACCGGUGGCGAAGGCGGCUUUCUGGACAGUAACUGACGCUGAGGCGCGAAAGCGUGGGGAGCAAACAGGAUUAGAUACCCUGGUA